rnacentral:rRNA from 1 species
CCUACGGGUGGCUGCAGUGAGGAAUAUUGGUCAAUGGGCGCGAGCCUGAACCAGCCAAGUCGCGUGAGGGAAGACGGUCCUAUGGAUUUUAAACCUCUUUUGUCGGGGAGCAAAAGACGCCGCGCGUGGCGUUCCCAGAGUACCCGAAGAAAAAGCAUAGGCUAACUCCGCGCCAGGAGGCGCGGUGAUACGGAGGAUGCGAGUGUUAUACGGAUUUAUUGGGGUUAAAGGGUGCGCAGGCGGAAGAUCGAGUCAGCGGUAAAAUUGAGAGGCUCAACCUCUUCGAGCCGUUGAAACUGGUUUUCUUGAGUGAGCGGGAAGGAUGCGGAAUGCGUGGUGUGGCGGUGAAAU